CGGAGGGUGCGAGCGUUGUCCGGAAUCACUGGGCGUAAAGGGCGCGUAGGUGGCGCGAGAAGUCAACGGUGAAAGCUCGGGGCUCAACCCCGAGUCGGCCGUCGAUACUCUUGGGCUCGAGCACUGUAGAGGCAGGUGGAAUUCCGGGUGUAGCGGUGGAAUGCGUAGAGAUCCGGAAGAACACCGGUGGCGAAGGCGGCCUGCUGGGCAGUUGCUGACACUGAGGCGCGACAGCGUGGGGAGCAAACAGGAUUAGAUACCCUGGUAGUCCACGCCGUAAACGAUGGGCACUAGAUGCUUGGGGGAGCGACCCUCUGAGUGUCGGCGCUAACGCAUUAAGUGCCCCGCCUGGGGAGUACGGCCGCAAGGCUG
rnacentral:rRNA from 1 species